GAGAAGAGUUUGUGGUGGAAGGUUCAGGAUAUUGAACCCUCUGAUACCAUGUAAGACAGUAAGUUUCCCUUGAAGGUUUACGUAUAUUCAUGUGUCAAUAUAUAGUACAAGAGGUUGAGUGAUAUAAGGGAUCGACUCAUAACUAUACAGAAUAUACUGAGGAAUAAUAUCUUAACAAUACUAUCGAUAUCUAUCCUCUAAUAUGUAACUCACAACUUUUCGGAUUACUAAAAGAGAAGACAAAUCGACGCGAUUGCAAGGCAACAAAGAGAUUCUUCAUGACGAUUUGAGUCAAGAUUCUUCAUGACGAUUUGAGUCAGACAAUCUCUAGAAACACCAUUAAAGGUGACAGAAAACGCAGACGAUCGUGGCGAAGUUCGAAGAAAAGAGGAAACCCUAAUUUCAGCUUACGCAUACUAAAGGGGAUAUGCUAUUGGGCUUUCGAAUUAUUCAAGCCCAUAAAAUACUUAGUGUGCCAGAAACCAAAACGCAGCACAUGAUUAAAAGGACACGUGUCGGACUGUCAUACUCCUAUUUGAUGAUGUGUCUUAAUAAGAAGAGAGUGAAUCUCUUCUUUAUAUAUAAAGAUAACUGGUUCGUUAUCUCUUGAUAUUCUUUUGUCUGGUUUUUAAAGGAGGUUGAUGAUUUGAUUGUUAAAUCAAAGACUAGCUGGCUUUCUGCUGAGGAGAUUU
rnacentral:lncRNA from 1 species